rnacentral:rRNA from 1 species
AUUGAACGCUGGCGGAAUGCUUUACACAUGCAAGUCGAACGGCAGCGCGGACUUCGGUCUGGUGGCGAGUGGCGAACGGGUGAGUAAUGUAUUGGAACGUGCCCAGUCGUGGGGGAUAACGUAGUGAAAAUUACGCUAAUACCGCAUACGAUCUAUGGAUGAAAGCGGGGGAUCGCAAGACCUCGCGCGAUUGGAGCGGCCGAUAUCAGAGUAGGUAGUUGGUGGGGUAAAGGCCCACCAAGCCAACGAUCUGUAGCUGGUCUGAGAGGACGACCAGCCACACUGGAACUGAGACACGGUCCAGACUCCUACGGGAGGCAGCAGUGAGGAAUUUUGGACAAAGGGCGAAAGCCUGAUCCAGCCAUUCCGCGUGCAGGAUGAAGGCCCUCGGGUUGUAAACUGCUCUUGUACAGAACGAAAAGGUUUCUACUAAUACUAGGAGCUCAUGACGGUACUGUAAGAAUAAGCACCGGCUAACUACGUGCCAGCCGCCGCGGUAA